rnacentral:rRNA from 1 species
AACGAACGCUGGCGGCAUGCCUAACACAUGCAAGUCGAACGAAGGCUUCGGCCUUAGUGGCGCACGGGUGCGUAACGCGUGGGAAUCUGCCCUUGGGUUCGGAAUAACAGUUAGAAAUGACUGCUAAUACCGGAUGAUGUCGUAAGACCAAAGAUUUAUCGCCCAGGGAUGAGCCCGCGUAAAGAUUAGGUAGUUGGUGGGGUAAAGGCCUACCAAGCCGACGAUCUUUAGCUGGUCUGAGAGGAUGAUCAGCCACACUGGGACUGAGACACGGCCCAGACUCCUACGGGAGGCAGCAGUGGGGAAUAUUGGACAAUGGGCGAAAGCCUGAUCCAGCAAUGCCGCGUGAGUGAUGAGGGCCUUAGGGUUGUAAAGCUCUUUUACCAGGGAUGAUAAUGACAGUACCUGGAGAAUAAGCUCCGGCUAACUCCGUGCCAGCAGCCGCGU